UUUUUCAGGGAAAAAAAAUCAAACCUAUUUAUUUUUUAAAAAAAGAACUAUUUUUAAGAACAAAAUUUAGACAUUAGAGCUCUUGAUAAGAAGUUAGAGUGGGAGCUAAGGAGAGCAGGUUUUCCUUUCUUGUAAAUGCCUUUUUGAGAGGAAAAAGGCCGGCCUCUGAGACGGUCACAUUCUCACAGGGAGACACAACGGCACUAACGUUGGCUUGCAUUCCUGACCUAUUGGCAGUGGGUGAAUGUACUCGGAACAAGGAGAACUAAGUGAAUUUGGAAUGAUCGGGGAGAGUGAAGUUUGACUAUUCCUUAUGUUGCAAUACGAUUUCUCGAGCAAAAAGUCUUUUUUUGGCCCCUCGCGCAUUCAGCCACUCUCCCCGGCUUUGUAAGGGAAGCGGCUGAUUUCCCACCAGAAAGGGGGGAGGGGGUGGGGAGGAGAGCGCCUAGGGAGGAGUCCGCGUGAGGAAGCUUCCGAGGUUAUAACUGGGCUGAUUUCCUGGAAAAGGCAAGAAGAGUCCGCCUCAGCUGUUUGAGGGGGCGCUGUGCAGGUCAGAUGAGCUCACCUGUCGCAAAAGCUCCGCACCCGGGGGGGAGGGUUACGGAGAGGGGGGAGGGGUUACGGAGAGGGGGGAGGGUUACGGAGAGGGGGGGAGGGUUACGGAGAGGGGGGGGGUUACGGAGAGGGGGCAGGGCAGGCCAGCCGGCCCCGGUUUUAUGUUCCUUCCUGCUCUGUCUCGGGCUCAGGUCUGGCGGGCAGGUGUCCGGGACGUGCAAACCCCCCAAGGUAAAUCUCCUGUUAAAAAAAAUGAAUGUUCUAUGGUCCUUGAUUACCCACAGUUUGAGGGCCUUUUCCCUCCUCCCUAAAGCACGGACAAAGGGGAGGAGGCACAGGAGUCGGACUUGAUGCAUAUGAAAGAUGGAUCGCCGAGGAAGGAGUUUGGAUGAUUUCCAUUUUCGCGGGUCAAGCCUGGGGAGAAACAGGACGGUGGAUUCCCCCAAACUUAACCGCUUCUUCGCACUGGGAAGGGCUCAGGCCAGUGUUUCACAGAGGGGGAAAAGCGGGUCCGUCUCCCCGGGCCUCAGUUUCCUCAUCUGUAAAAUGGAGGGGCAGGUCCAGAAGACAUCGGGUUUCCCGCCCCCUCCGGCUGGGCUCCGGGGCCGGUUUUCCGGUCGGCGCCCCGAGGCGCCUGGCACGGCGGGAGCCACUCCUCCCCCGCCCUGUGGUGGCGCGCCUCGAUCCUGCGCCUCUGGCUGCGGUUUCGGUUUCUUGCAAAGCCCGCUCGGACCGUGAAAUCGAGGAGUUUCCGGGAACUGCCAGCGGAGCCACCGUCGGCGCGGCGCGGCCCCGGGCGGGGUGGGGGCGGGGCUGCCUCGCUGCGGGGGAGCCCCCGGGGUCAAGGGCAGCUGGCCGGGGGGGAGUCCCGGCCUGAGUCAGGGCCCUGGCAGGCAGGCCGGCAGAAAUCCAGAGGCUGGAAGUUCCAAGGGGGAAAACCGGCCCUGGAAAAGCCCAGCAGGAGGACCCUCCGCUCUCCUUCCUCCUCCUCCCCCCGGCUCCUUUCUCCAGGGCCCGAGCGCCUGGCCUGACUGCCCGCGCUUCCCCGAGGCCUGGGCGGAAGGGCGGGCGGCAGCGCCCCCGGGCGGCCGGCGGCGGGAGGGCCACCGAACCGGAGGGAAGGGAAGGAGGCGGAGAAGCACGGGGGGCUGUCGGGUGGGGAGAGAGGGAAGGGAAAGGGGCCCCCGUUUGUUAAAUUAAAAGCCGAGAACAGCCGCGCUCCGAACCCCUCAGCCCCCCUCAGAGGCGGGACCCUCAGAGAGUAUUUACCAGACUUUUUUCCCUCUGGGCUCAGGCCGCUGGCCCAAUCCAAGAGCCGUUGCCCGGGAUUUCCUUUUAGAAAUUCUAGUUUGGUUUUUAAUAUCUAGGCCAAGUGCUCUUCCCAAGUCUUAUUAUGCCGCGUGUGGUAGGGACUCUGGCCCUCUUUCCCCGGUUCGGGGCCUUUUCCCUGGCCUGGAGGAGGAGUCAUGGCUCCGGUCCCCGGGGCCGCCCGAUGUCCCAGAGUAAGAGGAGAGGGGGCACGGAAAGCGUAGCCGGGGCAGGAGGAACGUGCGCUCCCUGUCGCUCCGGUCAUUUGAGGCUCUCCUCUAAAAAGGCAGUUGGAGCGCCCUUCAGGCUUAAUUUCCCCCGGGGACCGCACCCUUGAUCCGACUUCAGGAUGGCCCAGUACACAAGCCUGUGCCUGAGGAAUCGGGGGAUCCUCCUGGGAGGAGGUGCCCACCAGCCUGAUGGAGCCCAAAGGCAAAGGAGGUUGUGUCCCACUGCC
rnacentral:lncRNA from 1 species